rnacentral:lncRNA from 1 species
AAGAAAUAAAGAAAAAGAGGGAGAGAAAGAAAGAAAGAAAGAAAGAAAGAAAGAAUCGUAAAUGCACGUAGGCAUUGUACCAUUGAGGCGGUCCAGCAAGAGCAAAAGUAGAAACAGCAGCAGCAGAAGCAGCAGACGGACAGACGAAUGUACGGAUUAACUCGUUUUAAAGAGAUUCAGACCGUGUUCGGUCGUACGAUUCAAGCCAGUUAUGCAAGGAUGCACCACCGGUUUUUCAUUUUAAAAUUCGCACCUACACGAUCUCUCCUUCGUACUUACCAUAGGUCUCUUUCCAACAUGCUUUUUAAACAACAGGACAUCGAGGACAUUUAAAGAUGUCGAUCUUUAAUAUACUUCUUACCUUUCUCUUUAUUUUAACAUUUUAUUUUCAAUGAAUACAUUUAUUUCUAAUUUAAAUACGUGACGCGAGAUGUUUCCAUUUCAGGGGUCUUUUAAAUACGUUUUAAAUAUUUUAUUUAUUAUUAUUGUUAUUAUAUUAACGAUCGAGUUGCUAAAGAAGUUCCGAUAAAGGGAUGAAACGUUCAAUAAAAUUGAAAUAACGUUCUAC